CAGUCGCCGCGGGAAUACGAAGGGGGCUAGCGUUGCUCGGAAUGACUGGGCGUAAAGGGCGCGUGGGCGGCGGCCAAAGUCAGGCGUGAAAUUCCCGGACUCAACCUGGGAAUGGCAAUGGAUACUGGCGAGCUAGAGUGUGUCAGAGGAUGGUGGAAUUCCCGGUGUAGCGGUGAAAUGCGUAGAGAUCGGGAGGAACAUCAGUGGCGAAGGCAGCCCCCUGGGCCAAUACUGACGCUCAUGCACGAAAGCGUGGGGAGCAAACAGGAUUAGAUACCCCGGUAGUCCCUGUCUCUUAUAC
rnacentral:rRNA from 1 species